UACGAAGGGGGCAAGCGUUGUUCGGAAUUACUGGGCGUAAAGCGCACGUAGGCGGAUUGUUAAGUCAGGGGUGAAAUCCCGAGGCUCAACCUCGGAACUGCCUUUGAUACUGGCAAUCUCGAGUCCGGAAGAGGUGAGUGGAAUUCCUAGUGUAGAGGUGAAAUUCGUAGAUAUUAGGAAGAACACCAGUGGCGAAGGCGGCUCACUGGUCCGGUACUGACGCUGAGGUGCGAAAGCGUGGGGAGCAAACAGG
rnacentral:rRNA from 1 species